rnacentral:rRNA from 1 species
UGAGCAAUCUGCCCUUCUCAUCGGAAUAAGCGUUGGAAACGACGUCUAAUGCCGAAUACGACCUCCUUUCGCAUGAUCGGAGGUGGAAAGCUCCGGCGGAGAAGGAUGAGCUCGCGGCCUAUCAGCUUGUUGGUGGGGUAAUGGCCUACCAAGGCGACGACGGGUAGCCGGCCUGAGAGGGCGACCGGCCACACUGGGACUGAGACACGGCCCAGACCUCCUACGGGAGGCAGCG